CGUCCACUGCGUUCGCGAAGGUUUUAUAUUUCCUUGAACCGAUGCUCUCGCGAGCCUGGGCUUGGAAAUCGCCAAGUUGGUGUGAUCGUCUCGCGUCAGAUGAACCCGAAAUUUGGCUGACCUCGCCCACCUGAAUCCCCCUGGGUUCAGGAAUGCGGCCUUUGGUUCGCGGUGGACAC
rnacentral:other from 1 species